rnacentral:rRNA from 1 species
UUCUUCGGAGCUAGAGACCGGCGCACGGGUGCGUACCGCGUAUGCAAUCUACCUUUUACAGAGGGAUAGCCCAGAGAAAUUUGGAUUAAUACCUCAUAGUAUGUGAGAAUCGCAUGGUUUUCACAUUAAAGUCACAACGGUAAAAGAUGAGCAUGCGUCCCAUUAGCUUGUUGGUAAGGUAACGGCUUACCAAGGCAACGAUGGGUAGGGGUCCUGAGAGGGAGAUCCCCCACACUGGUACUGAGACACGGACCAGACUCCUACGGGAGGCAGCAGUGAGGAAUAUUGGACAAUGGGCGCAAGCCUGAUCCAGCCAUGCCGCGUGCAGGAUGACGGUCCUAUGGAUUGUAAACUGCUUUUGUACAGGAAGAAACACUCCCUCGUGAGGGAGCUUGACGGUACUGUAAGAAUAAGGAUCGGCUAACUCCGUGCCAGCAGCCGCGGUAAUACGGAGGAUCCAAGCGUUAUCCGGAAUCAUUGGGUUUAAAGGGUCCGUAGGCGGUUUAAUAAGUCAGUGGUGAAAGCCCAUCGCUCAACGGUGGAACGGCCAUUGAUACUGUUAAACUUGAAUUAUUAGGAAGUAACUAGAAUAUGUAGUGUAGCGGUGAAAUGCUUAGAGAUUACAUGGAAUACCGAUUGCGAAGGCAGGUUACUACUAAUGGAUUGACGCUGAUGGACGAAAGCGUGGGUAGCGAACAGG